ACGGCCCUAAAUCAAGGCCAGCAGUUUGCUGAAGCUGUUGGUUUCAACCAGGAGCCUAAAGAAAUGUCAUUCUGUGGUCUGAUGGCCAUUUCAGAACUUUGGAAAUGUAAUGGUCAAUUCAUUAGAAAGAACCAUCU
rnacentral:snoRNA from 1 species